rnacentral:rRNA from 1 species
UAUCUAGCUUGCUAGAUAUGAUUAGUGGCGAACGGGUGAGUAAUGCUUAGGAAUCUGCCUGGUAGUGGGGGAUAACUUACCGAAAGGUAAGCUAAUACCGCAUACGUCCUACGGGAGAAAGGGGGCUUUUAGCUCUCGCUAUCAGAUGAGCCUAAGUCGGAUUAGCUAGUUGGUGGGGUAAAGGCCUACCAAGGCGACGAUCUGUAACUGGUCUGAGAGGAUGAUCAGUCACACCGGAACUGAGACACGGUCCGGACUCCUACGGGAGGCAGCAGUGGGGAAUAUUGGACAAUGGGCGAAAGCCUGAUCCAGCCAUGCCGCGUGUGUGAAGAAGGCCUUUUGGUUGUAAAGCACUUUAAGCAGGGAGGAAAAGCUUAUGGUUAAUACCCAUAAGCCCUGACGUUACCUGCAGAAUAAGCACCGGCUAACUCUGUGCCAGCAGCCGCGGUAAUACAGAGGGUGCAAGCGUUAAUCGGAAUUACUGGGCGUAAAGCGCGCGUAGGUGGUUUAUUAAGUCAGAUGUGAAAUCCCCGGGCUUAACCUGGGAACUGCAUCUGAUACUGGUAAACUAGAGUAGGUGAGAGGGGAGUAGAAUUCCAGGUGUAGCGGUGAAAUGCUUAGAGAUCUGGAGGAAUACCGAUGGCGAAGGCAGCUCCCUGGCAUCAUACUGACACUGAGGUGCGAAAGCGUGGGUAGCAAACAGGAUUAGAUACCCUGGUAGUCCACGCCGUAAACGAUGUCUACCAGUCGUUGGGUCUCUUGAAGACUUAGUGACGCAGUU